rnacentral:rRNA from 1 species
CCUACGGGUGGCUGCAGUGAGGAAUAUUGGUCAAUGGACGGAAGUCUGAACCAGCCAUGCCGCGUGCAGGAAGACGGCUCUAUGAGUUGUAAACUGCUUUUGUACAAGGGUAAACCUGAAUACGUGUAUUCAGCUGAAUGUACUGUACGAAUAAGGAUCGGCUAACUCCGUGCCAGCAGCCGCGGUAAUACGGAGGAUCCAAGCGUUAGCCGGAUUUAUUGGGGUUAAAGGGUGCGUAGGCGGAUUGAUAAGUUAGAGGUGAAAUGUCCGGGCUUAACUCGGGAACUGCCUUUGAUACGGGUGAUCGAGAGAGUAGAUGCGGAAGGCGGAAUGUAUGGUGUAGCGGUGAAAUGCUUAGAGAUCAUACAGAACACCGAUUGCGAAGGCAGCUUACCAAUCUAUAACUGACGUUGAGGCACGAAAGCGUGGGGAGCAAACAGGAUUAGAUACCCGAGUAGUC